AGGUUACGUCAAGGCUCAGGGAUAUUAACCCUGAACUAUUUCUUCUCUACUGAAAGUGCUUUACAACCCGCAGGCCUUCUUCACACACGCGGUAUUGCUGGAUCAGGGUUUCCCCCAUUGUCCAAUAUUCCCC
rnacentral:rRNA from 1 species